CAGUAGCCACGGUAAUACGAAGGGUGCAAGCGUUACUCGGAAUUACUGGGCGUAAAGCGUGCGUAGGUGGUGGUUUAAGUCCGUUGUGAAAGCCCUGGGCUCAACCUGGGAAUUGCAGUGGAUACUGGGUCACUAGAGUGUGGUAGAGGAUAGUGGAAUUUCCGGUGUAGCAGUGAAAUGCGUAGAGAUCGGAAGGAACAUCUGUGGCGAAGGCGACUAUCUGGGCCAACACUGACACUGAGGCACGAAAGCGUGGGGAGCAAACAGGAUUAGAUACCCGCGUAGUCCCUGUCUCUUAUAC
rnacentral:rRNA from 1 species